UACGUAGGGUGCAAGCGUUGUCCGGAAUUAUUGGGCGUAAAGAGCUCGUAGGCGGUCUGUCGCGUCUGCUGUGAAAUUUCGGGGCUCAACCCCGAACUUGCAGUGGGUACGGGCAGACUAGAGUGUGGUAGGGGAGACUGGAAUUCCUGGUGUAGCGGUGAAAUGCGCAGAUAUCAGGAGGAACACCGAUGGCGAAGGCAGGUCACUGGGCCGCAACUGACGCUGAGGGGCGAAAGCAUGGGGAGCGAACAGG
rnacentral:rRNA from 1 species